rnacentral:rRNA from 1 species
AGAGUUUGCUUUUGGCUCAGGACGAACGCUGGCGGCGCGCCUAACACAUGCAAGUCGAACGGAGCUUAGAGAGCUUGCUUUUUAAGCUUAGUGGCGAACGGGUGAGUAACGCGUGAGUAACCUGCCCUAGAGUGGGGGACAACAGUUGGAAACGACUGCUAAUACCGCAUAAGCCCACGGUACCGCAUGGUACUGAGGGAAAAGGAUUUAUUCGCUUUAGGAUGGACUCGCGUCCAAUUAGCUAGUUGGUGAGGUAACGGCCCACCAAGGCGACGAUUGGUAGCCGGACUGAGAGGUUGAACGGCCACAUUGGGACUGAGACACGGCCCAGACUCCUACGGGAGGCAGCAGUGGGGGAUAUUGCACAAUGGGGGAAACCCUGAUGCAGCGACGCCGCGUGGAGGAAGAAGGUUUUCGGAUUGUAAACUCCUGUCGUUAGGGACGAUAAUGACGGUACCUAACAAGAAAGCACCGGCUAACUACGUGCCAGCAGCCGCGGUAAAACGUAGGGUGCAAGCGUUGUCCGGAAUUACUGGGUGUAAAGGGAGCGCAGGCGGGAAGACAAGUUGGAAGUGAAAACCAUGGGCUCAACCCAUGAAUUGCUUUCAAAACUGUUUUUCUUGAGUAGUGCAGAGGUAGAUGGAAUUCCCGGUGUAGCGGUGGAAUGCGUAGAUAUCGGGAGGAACACCAGUGGCGAAGGCGGUCUACUGGGCACCAACUGACGCUGAGGCUCGAAAGCAUGGGUAGCAAACAGGAUUAGAUACCCUGGUAGUCCAUGCCGUAAA